rnacentral:sRNA from 12 species
AGCGGCAGAUCUAGUAUAUAGAAGGUUGGCCGUAAGGUCAGCAGCAAGCUAAAGCUUGUGGGAUCCUUCUUCUAGAAUGCCGCUAUGUU